CAGAAAGACAAACAGAAACACAAAGGCUGAAAAUUGAUGGAGAGAAUAGACUCUGAAAAGGGUUGCUUAAUUAUGUGAACGAUUCAGCAUCAAAUAUUUAAGGAAAAUUACUACUGCUUUAGGUAAAAAGAUAACAAAAGUUUAAUGAAGGAAAAUAAAGUUCCUAUCCUUAAGUAGCUUACAUACUGGUAGGGAAGGUAGUAAACACAUAGAUAGAUAGUAAAUGUCAUUGACCAGAGUAUGAGGAAUAUUUAAAACAGGGCAGGAUGGUAUAACAAGAUGGUAUAACCCUGUUCUAAACGGGGUAGACAGAGAAUACUGAAUUAGCAAACACAGCCAUUGUUCCUAGCAGAAAUAACUGUUAGUUUUCUGAGAGCUUCUAUUUGCAACAUUUGUGUCAAUUAACAUUUUUAUCAAACACUUGUGUUAGGUGUGUUUCUGCUUAAAAACACCACAUGUAACAUCAUUGAUUCAUUAAUAUUGAACUCAUAGUCAACAACACUGUAACUCCUGCUUAUCUAACAAAUGUUUUCUCUGUAAGGUGUUGGCUUUAUCUUUGCCCAGUCCCUCCCAAGUGUUAGCUGUAAGGUUUUUCCUUCUGUACCACCACUGCUCCUGACCGUGUCAAGUCAGCCUGGCCUGUAUCCUGAAAAACUAAAAAGGGGUAGUUGUUUACAUGGACAAUGUGGUUAGGGGUUCGUCUCAGGACACAGGCUUGUACUCCCUUACUCAAGAACCACAGUUAUGAGCAGGCUGCUGUCAAUGGAAGGACCAUACCCUUCAAUCACCAGCCACACAGCGUGGCAAAUGAUGUCCUCCUGAACCUCGGUUCAGCUGAUCCACCUGUGAAUCUGGUGAUUAAGGAAGAUAUCAUUUGGUAAGAGAUGAGAUGAUGGUAUCAUUCAGUGAAAUGAGAUAGCUUGAAAAGGAAUAGGUCUGGGGUGGGAGGUGAUGCAAGACAGGAAGGGAAAUAAGAACUGUAUCUUGAACAUGUACAGUGUGAGAUGCCAUUUGGACACUGGAGGUAGUUUGACAGUUAAAUCUACAGCUUAGGGAAAACUGGAGCUAGAGCAGUAAAUUUGGGAGUGAACAACACACAGAUAAUGCCACCGAGCCGAAUGAGAUCAUUUAAGAUGAAGAGCUUAAACCUAGAACACAAAGGGGUUGAAAUAAUAAUUUUCUAUUGAUCCUUUAAAGAGAUGGCUUAUAGAAUUUAGUUCAUUUUCUCCUUUUCUGUGUGAAAGGAACCAUAAAACUACAGGGAAAUUUGAAUUGGUAUUAAAGGGUAUCAGCAUCAGAUCCCCAGUCUUUUUUGGGGUGGGUUAAAUAGCAAGAAGAGAUAAGACAGCCUUCUUCAGCAAUCAAUGCAAAGAAA
rnacentral:lncRNA from 1 species